GACGAACGCUGGCGGCGUGCUUAACACAUGCAAGUCGAACGCUGAAGCACCAGCUUGCUGGUGUGGAUGAGUGGCGAACGGGUGAGUAAUACGUGAGUAACCUGCCCUUGACUCUGGGAUAAGCCCGGGAAACUGGGUCUAAUACUGGAUGCUACAUGUCACCGCAUGGUGGUGUGUGGAAAGGGUUUACUGGUCUUGGAUGGGCUCACGGCCUAUCAGCUUGUUGGUGAGGUAAUGGCUCACCAAGGCGACGACGGGUAGCCAGCCUGAGAGGGUGACCGGCCACACUGGGACUGAGACACGGCCCAGACUCCUACGGGAGGCAGCAGUGGGGAAUAUUGCACAAUGGGCGAAAGCCUGAUGCAGCGACGCCGCGUGAGGGAUGACGGCCUUCGGGUUGUAAACCUCUUUCAGCAGGGAAGAAGCCACAAGUGACGGUACCUGCAGAAGAAGCGCCGGCUAACUACGUG
rnacentral:rRNA from 1 species